AUUAUAUUUUUAUUUAAUUUCAGGGCAAGGAUUGGUGGACUUAUGAAUUUUGCUUUGGACAUUACAUUAAACAGUUUCACAUAGAAGACGGCCAAAUUAUUGGUCAAGUCCUAACAUUAGGCCUUUAUGAGUCUGAUUAUGACUGGGAUAAUGAGACUGAUCAGGAAAAAUUUAAGCAUGCUAAGCAGAGGUACCACACACAAUAUUAUGUAAAUGGUACAAAAUGUGAUCUAACUGGACAGCCUCGUAAUGCUGAAGUGCGAGUAAGAA